rnacentral:tRNA from 1 species
GGCCGGACCGGCGAGGCGGCGCGUGGGCUGUGUGAGGCGCGGCGGAGGGCGCGGCGGAGCCUUCUGGUGGCGUUCGGCGCGCCGGCCGGCCUC